AAAUUGAAGAGUUUGAUCAUGGCUCAGAUUGAACGCUGGCGGCAGGCCUAACACAUGCAAGUCGAGCGGAAACGAGUUAUCUGAACCUUCGGGAACGAUAACGGCGUCGAGCGGCGGACGGGUGAGUAAUGCCUAGGAAAUUGCCCUGAUGUGGGGGAUAACCAUUGGAAACGAUGGCUAAUACCGCAUAACGCCUACGGGCCAAAGAGGGGGACCUUCGGGCCUCUCGCGUCAGGAUAUGCCUAGGUGGGAUUAGCUAGUUGGUGAGGUAAGGGCUCACCAAGGCGACGAUCCCUAGCUGGUCUGAGAGGAUGAUCAGCCACACUGGAACUGAGACACGGUCCAGACUCCUACGGGAGGCAGCAGUGGGGAAUAUUGCACAAUGGGCGCAAGCCUGAUGCAGCCAUGCCGCGUGUGUGAAGAAGGCCUUCGGGUUGUAAAGCACUUUCAGUCGUGAGGAAGGUAGUGUAGUUAAUAGCUGCAUUAUUUGACGUUAGCGACAGAAGAAGCACCGGCUAACUCCGUGCCAGCAGCCGCGGUAAUACGGAGGGUGCGAGCGUUAAUCGGAAUUACUGGGCGUAAAGCGCAUGCAGGUGGUUUGUUAAGUCAGAUGUGAAAGCCCGGGGCUCAACCUCGGAAUUGCAUUUGAAACUGGCAGACUAGAGUACUGUAGAGGGGGGUAGAAUUUCAGGUGUAGCGGUGAAAUGCGUAGAGAUCUGAAGGAAUACCGGUGGCGAAGGCGGCCCCCUGGACAGAUACUGACACUCAGAUGCGAAAGCGUGGGGAGCAAACAGGAUUAGAUACCCUGGUAGUCCACGCCGUAAACGAUGUCUACUUGGAGGUUGUGGCCUUGAGCCGUGGCUUUCGGAGCUAACGCGUUAAGUAGACCGCCUGGGGAGUACGGUCGCAAGAUUAAAACUCAAAUGAAUUGACGGGGGCCCGCACAAGCGGUGGAGCAUGUGGUUUAAUUCGAUGCAACGCGAAGAACCUUACCUACUCUUGACAUCCAGAGAACUUUCCAGAGAUGGAUUGGUGCCUUCGGGAACUCUGAGACAGGUGCUGCAUGGCUGUCGUCAGCUCGUGUUGUGAAAUGUUGGGUUAAGUCCCGCAACGAGCGCAACCCUUAUCCUUGUUUGCCAGCGAGUAAUGUCGGGAACUCCAGGGAGACUGCCGGUGAUAAACCGGAGGAAGGUGGGGACGACGUCAAGUCAUCAUGGCCCUUACGAGUAGGGCUACACACGUGCUACAAUGGCGCAUACAGAGGGCAGCCAACUUGCGAAAGUGAGCGAAUCCCAAAAAGUGCGUCGUAGUCCGGAUCGGAGUCUGCAACUCGACUCCGUGAAGUCGGAAUCGCUAGUAAUCGUGGAUCAGAAUGCCACGGUGAAUACGUUCCCGGGCCUUGUACACACCGCCCGUCACACCAUGGGAGUGGGCUGCAAAAGAAGUAGGUAGUUUAACCUUCGGGAGGACGCUUACCACUUUGUGGUUCAUGACUGGGGUGAAGUCGUAACAAGGUAGCGCUAGGGGAACCUGGCGCUGGAUCACCUCCUUAUACGAUGAU
rnacentral:rRNA from 1 species